CAGGGAGCCUGGAGCCUAUCCUAGGAAACUCUAGGCACAAGGCGGAGGACACCCUGGAUGGAGGGCCAGAUCAUCGCAGGGCACAAUCCCACACACAUUCACACACUACGGACAAUUUGGAAAUGCCAAUCAGCCUACAACACAUGUCUUUGGACUGGGGGAGGAAACCGGAAUACCUGGAGGAAACCCCCCGAAGCAUGGGGAGAACAUGCAAACGCCACGCACACAGGGUGGAGGCAGGAUUCGAACCCCCAACCCCGGAGUGGAAAAACAGCAAUAUUGGUCCCUUUGGUGAACUUAAUGGUGACAUACUUGAGUCUAAAGCUCCUCCAGCCAGAGUCUGGUUAACUUCAUCCUGAGUGUCACACAGCUGAGAGGAAAGGAGAGAAGAAGAAAAAAGGCCACUGAUGUAAUCUCUGUGAUAGAAUACAAUUACACAUGGACACACACACAAAUCUCUCACCUCCUGAAUCUGAUCAACCAGG